CUCCAUCAUGGUCACCAUCCCAUCAUGGUCACCAUCCCAUCAACAUCUCCAUCAAUGUCACCAUCCCAUCAACGUCUCCAUCAUUGUCCCCAUCCCAUCAAGGUUCUCAUUCCAUCUUCUCUCCAUCCCAUCAAUGUCUCCAUCCCAUGAAGUUCUUCAUCCCAUCAACAUCUCCAUCAAUGUCUCCAUCU
rnacentral:lncRNA from 1 species